GCAGGGCGUGGUGGCUCAAACCUAUAGUCUCAGCUACUUGGGAGAAUAGGCCGGAGGAUUGCUUGAGCCCAGAAGUUCUGGGUUGCAGUGUGCCAUGCCAACAGGGUAUCCACACUAAAUUUGGCAUCAAUAUGGUGACCUUCCUGGAGCAGGGUUGCCUAAAAAGAGGUGUGAACCGGCCCAGGAUGGAAAUGGACCAGGUCAAAACUCCCAUGCUGAUGAGUAGUGGGAUCAUGUCACUGCACUGCAGCCUGGACACCAUAGCAAGGGUCCAUCUCU
ensembl:misc_RNA Metazoa_SRP Metazoan signal recognition particle RNA